rnacentral:tRNA from 1 species
CCGUAGCUCAGCUGGAUAGAGUGGUUGACUUCGAAUCAAUAGGUCGCAGGUUCGAGUCCUGUCGGG